UCCAUCUUCAAGCUUCCCAAAGGCAGGAAUCACCUAUUGUUCGUCUGUAAACUCCAAUGAGAAACAUACAGUCUGGUGUAUGGGAGGUCAUCAAAACAAGUGUGGAGGUAUAAGCUAAGACUGACAACUGCCUCCCAAGUUUCUAUUCAAAAGUAAUCAUUUUGGAUGUAAAUCUCAUCAGGAAUGUGUUUAAACUCAGGAACUGCUGAAUUGUACUGUAACUUGGCUCAUCCCAAAUAGUGCAGUUGUCUUCACAAUGGAGAGACUGUCACAGCCUAAAAAGACACGUGACUCUGAGCAUCAGUUUACUGGCUGCCCACUCAAUGAUUCAGACUCCUCCAUUCUUUGUGUGGAAGAGAACUGGCCUUCCGGGAGCCUGAGGCCAAGUGAGAGAACCUUCUGAAAGCCGUCACUGCAUGGGGAGCCUGGACUUACCCUUUGCCUUGUUGGAGCUGUUUGUCUAUUUCCGUCUCGAAGUUCUCUAUAGAUUGGGCUAGUGUCUUUCACCACUGUGUCCUUAAUGUCCUGGAGACUGCCCGCCACUUAGCAGGGGCCUAUAAGCACGUGAAGUGAGGCCAGGACAAAUCCUUAUGCCCUCUA